rnacentral:rRNA from 1 species
CCAUUGGUUUGGAAUAACACGAGGAAACUUGUGCUAAUACCAGAUAAGCCUUUACGGGGAAAGCUUUAUGCGCCGAUGGAUGAGCCCGCACUUGAUUAGCUAGUUGGUAAGGUAAAAGCUUACCAAGGCUACGAUCAAUAGCUGAUCUGAGAGGAUGAUCAGCCACAUUGGGACUGAGACACGGCCCAAACUCCUACGGGAGGCAGCAGUAGGGAAUCUUGCACAAUGGGGGAAACCCUGAUGCAGCGAUGCCGCGUGAGUGAAGAAGGCCUUUGGGUUGUAAAGCUCUUUCGUCGGGGAAGAAAAUGACUGUACCCGAAUAAGAAGGUCCGGCUAACUUCGUGCCAGCAGCCGCGGUAAUACGAAGGGACCUAGCGUAGUUCGGAAUUACUGGGCUUAAAGAGCUCGUAGGUGGUUAGAAAAGUUGGUGGUGAAAUCCCAAGGCUUAACCUUGGAGCUGCCACCAAAACUUUUUAACUAGAGUAUGAUAGAGGUAAGCGGAAUUUCUAGUGUAGAGGUGAAAUUCGUAGAUAUUAGAAAGAACACCAAUUGCGAAGGCAGUUUACUGGAUCAUUACUGACACUGAGGAGCGAAAGCAUGGGGUAGCGAAGAGGAUUA